rnacentral:rRNA from 1 species
UACGUAGGGGGGCAAGCGUUGUCCGGAUUUAUUGGGCGUAAAGAGCGUGUAGGCGGCCAGACAGGUCCGUUGUGAAAACUCGAGGCUCAACCUCGAGAUGUCGAUGGAAACCGUCUGGCUGGAGUCCGGAAGAGGAGUGUGGAAUUCCUGGUGUAGCGGUGAAAUGCGCAGAUAUCAGGAAGAACACCUAUGGCGAAGGCAGCACUCUGGGACGGUACUGACGCUGAGACGCGAAAGCGUGGGGAGCGAACAGG